AAAUGACUAGCCAAGUUAAUGUUGACAUGGUCUGAUACACCAGUUAACAUUUGUAAUAGAUGUUACUGAUGCAAAAACCCAAGAAGGAGCACCUUCUCUUUUUCCCAAACAUAAUUUCACCCACCCAAUAGCUUUAAACACUUACACUCCUGAGUCCUCUCUUUUUUUCAUUUCAGCCCUCUAUAUUCUAGCACAUCAAAAUUCUAUUACUUCAACAUCAGAACACUAGUUAUGUUGAAUUACAAAGGGUGCUUCAAAAGUUUUUUACACUAUAAGGCAUCAUUUUGGUCCAGUUUAAUUUGGCUAUUAUUUGAGUUGAACAAUAAAUUGUUAGAUCUAUAAGAUUAUUGCAUAUUUAGUUAAAUUCUUGUUCCAGCACUGAUUUGUGUCAUUAUGUGAACUUUUAAAAAUAUAAUUCAUGGUAGCGCUGCACGGUACUACAAUCUGAUAUGGUCAAAUAUAGUUGGAUAUUGCAACACAGAGACCAUCACUGACGCCACUACCAAUGUCAUUAUUUUAAAAUCCUAUUCAUAUAUGAUAACAUAUGAUAUUCCAUGGCCUUAAAAUUAAACUUCAACAGAAACUAAUAUCUUAAGACGUUGAAUCAAUAACCUCAAGGUCUCAACAUUUCAGAUCCAACAUUAGAAGAUGAUGCCUAAACAUGUAUAAAAUAUUAUUGCCUGACAUAUUAAUAUUACACGAGAUAAGCAUAAGUCAACUAGCAACCUACAACCUCCACUAUAUGUGUUGGCCAUUGAUGCAAAGUAAAAAAGUUUAUUAAAAGAUCUAUCAAAAAGAUAGGUUAUAUUGCUGAGAACAGAAACCAACUUCAAAACAUGAAGCAACUAAAACAGCCUAGGAGCUCCCUAGCCUAAAUCUUUUUUCUAGCAUUUUUGGAAGUCUGAAGAUGCUGG
rnacentral:misc_RNA from 1 species